rnacentral:lncRNA from 1 species
AUGGAAGGCAGCCCGCCGAGCGCCGCGAGCCGCGCCAGGCCGGGUCCGAUGGAGCAGGCGGGGAUUCCUCCCCAGGCGGACCCCGCCACCAGCCCUGCCAGGAGCUCGCGGCCCGCGGAGCGCCCCGGGCCGGCUGCUCACCGCCCGCUUCCCCCAGCGAAAGACUCGGGGAAGCUCCAGGAGGCCAUCCGUGCUGACGCUUCACAUCAGACAGGGCCACUUGCAAGGACAAAAAUAAGAAAUUUAGGAAAUGAAAAAAGACGUACUGGGGAGAGGGGCGCGGGCGCGGCGGCUACUGGGCCUGGGGCACAUCCUGGCGGCCGCUCGGGGAGAGAGACACGCGGGGAGGGCGCGAGGCGGGUGCACGGCCGCGGGUGGGAGUGCGCGCCUGUGCGCGCGGGGCGAGGGCGAGGGCGCGUGCGUGCGACCGCGGGAGAGGGAGGGCGCGUGUGCGGGGAGCGCGCCGCGCCAGCUGCCCCAGAGUGUGGGGCCGAUCCAAAGUGCGCAACCCCCUCACCUGGCCCCCGUGUCAUCCCCGAAAUCCGGGAACGGGGUGGGCCGCGCGCAGGACUUUGGUGGAGUUGGAACUUUCGGUCGCGCUCGCUGCCCACUCCGCUGGCGCCCGGAGGCCCGUGGGGAAGGGGGACUAGGGUGGGGACACCGGGGUCCUGCGGUCCCCUCCCUUUCCUGCAUUUAAGAAGCCGACGGCGGCGCAGAGGCUCCGGCGGGCUGGCGCGGGGCGAGGCGGCCCCGGUGGCGGCAGCGGGCGGGGCGGGCGCUCCGGAGUCGGUGGGGCCCGCGGGAUGGGGGGCGGGGAGAGGAGGGAGUGAAAGGGAGGGGGCACGCAGGGGAGGGAAAGGAGGGAGGAGCCGCGCGGCCCGCGCCGCUUCCGAACCGGAAAGUUGGUCUUGCCGAAGUCCUGCCACCCCGGCGUGCGCACUCCGCUCCGCUCCGGCCGCGAGCCUCCGAGCCCGGCCGGCCGCCGGGGAAGACCGCGGAGGGGACGCGGGGCCGGGCGAGAAGGUCCGGAGAGCGGGGCACCUGAGCCCGAGCGGGCCCGCCGCGCUGAGCUGCGCCGAGAACCGCGGCGGAGCAGUGAAGGCGGCCGGCCGACCCCGCGCGCCCGGAGCAGGAGGCCCGGCGCCCGAGCAGCCCGGGCGAGACAAAGGCGCCGGGUCGGAGCCCUGCCCGCGGCCGCUCGCUCCGGAGGGCCGCCCGGCGGCGGCGGGGGGGCGCGGGCGGCGGCGCAGACACUCUAUAAAGGGCGAGCCCGGCGCGCCGGCGGAGACGGCGCCGCGCGGACGCCGCCAAAGUUUGCUGCCUGCGCCCUGCGGAGGGCGGCCACCGCGGCCCGCGCCGCACCCGGGCCCCGCCAGAGCCGCACCGGGGCGGUCGAGGAGCGCGGCGCCUGGAGCCCGCGAUGUGAGGCGGUGCCGGGCAGCGCGCGCCCCGGUCCCGAGGCGCCGCGGCCCUCCUCGCCGGCGCGGCCGCUAA